rnacentral:rRNA from 1 species
UACGUAGGGUGCGAGCGUUGUCCGGAAUUACUGGGCGUAAAGAGCUCGUAGGUGGUUUGUCGCGUUGUUCGUGAAAACUCACAACUCAAUUGUGGGCGUGCGGGCGAUACGGGCAGACUGGAGUACUGCAGGGGAGACUGGAAUUCCUGGUGUAGCGGUGGAAUGCGCAGAUAUCAGGAGGAACACCGGUGGCGAAGGCGGGUCACUGGUCCGGUACUGACGCUGAGGUGCGAAAGCGUGGGGAGCAAACAGG